rnacentral:tRNA from 1 species
GACUCGGUGGCGCAACGGUAGCGCGUCUGACUCCAGAUCAGAAGGUUGCGGUGUCGAAUCACGUCCGGGUCA